AGAGUUUGAUCCUGGCUCAGGAUGAACGCUGGCGGCGUGCCUAAUACAUGCAAGUCGAGCGAACGGACGAGAAGCUUGCUUCUCUGAUGUUAGCGGCGGACGGGUGAGUAACACGUGGAUAACCUACCUAUAAGACUGGGAUAACUUCGGGAAACCGGAGCUAAUACCGGAUAAUAUUUUGAACCGCAUGGUUCAAAAGUGAAAGACGGUCUUGCUGUCACUUAUAGAUGGAUCCGCGCUGCAUUAGCUAGUUGGUAAGGUAACGGCUUACCAAGGCAACGAUGCAUAGCCGACCUGAGAGGGUGAUCGGCCACACUGGAACUGAGACACGGUCCAGACUCCUACGGGAGGCAGCAGUAGGGAAUCUUCCGCAAUGGGCGAAAGCCUGACGGAGCAACGCCGCGUGAGUGAUGAAGGUCUUCGGAUCGUAAAACUCUGUUAUUAGGGAAGAACAUAUGUGUAAGUAACUGUGCACAUCUUGACGGUACCUAAUCAGAAAGCCACGGCUAACUACGUGCCAGCAGCCGCGGUAAUACGUAGGUGGCAAGCGUUAUCCGGAAUUAUUGGGCGUAAAGCGCGCGUAGGCGGUUUUUUAAGUCUGAUGUGAAAGCCCACGGCUCAACCGUGGAGGGUCAUUGGAAACUGGAAAACUUGAGUGCAGAAGAGGAAAGUGGAAUUCCAUGUGUAGCGGUGAAAUGCGCAGAGAUAUGGAGGAACACCAGUGGCGAAGGCGACUUUCUGGUCUGUAACUGACGCUGAUGUGCGAAAGCGUGGGGAUCAAACAGGAUUAGAUACCCUGGUAGUCCACGCCGUAAACGAUGAGUGCUAAGUGUUAGGGGGUUUCCGCCCCUUAGUGCUGCAGCUAACGCAUUAAGCACUCCGCCUGGGGAGUACGACCGCAAGGUUGAAACUCAAAGGAAUUGACGGGGACCCGCACAAGCGGUGGAGCAUGUGGUUUAAUUCGAAGCAACGCGAAGAACCUUACCAAAUCUUGACAUCCUUUGACAACUCUAGAGAUAGAGCCUUCCCCUUCGGGGGACAAAGUGACAGGUGGUGCAUGGUUGUCGUCAGCUCGUGUCGUGAGAUGUUGGGUUAAGUCCCGCAACGAGCGCAACCCUUAAGCUUAGUUGCCAUCAUUAAGUUGGGCACUCUAAGUUGACUGCCGGUGACAAACCGGAGGAAGGUGGGGAUGACGUCAAAUCAUCAUGCCCCUUAUGAUUUGGGCUACACACGUGCUA
rnacentral:rRNA from 1 species